GGAUCCAGACUUUGAUCCUGGCUCAGGAUGAACGCUAGCUACAGGCUUAACACAUGCAAGUCGAGGGGAAACGAUAUUGGAAGCUUGCUUCCGAUAGGCGUCGACCGGCGCACGGGUGAGUAACGCGUAUCCAACCUGCCCACCACUUGGGGAUAACCUUGCGAAAGUAAGACUAAUACCCAAUGAUAUCUCUAGAAGACAUCUGAAAGAGAUUAAAGAUUUAUCGGUGAUGGAUGGGGAUGCGUCUGAUUAGUUUGUUGGCGGGGUAACGGCCCACCAAGGCGACGAUCAGUAGGGGUUCUGAGAGGAAGGUCCCCCACAUUGGAACUGAGACACGGUCCAAACUCCUACGGGAGGCAGCAGUGAGGAAUAUUGGUCAAUGGGCGAGAGCCUGAACCAGCCAAGUAGCGUGCAGGAUGACGGCCCUAUGGGUUGUAAACUGCUUUUAUAAGGGAAUAAAGUGAGUCUCGUGAGACUUUUUGCAUGUACCUUAUGAAUAAGGACCGGCUAAUUCCGUGCCAGCAGCCGCGGUAAUACGGAAGGUCCGGGCGUUAUCCGGAUUUAUUGGGUUUAAAGGGAGCGUAGGCCGGAGAUUAAGCGUGUUGUGAAAUGUAGACGCUCAACGUCUGCACUGCAGCGCGAACUGGUUUCCUUGAGUACGCACAAAGUGGGCGGAAUUCGUGGUGUAGCGGUGAAAUGCUUAGAUAUCACGAAGAACUCCGAUUGCGAAGGCAGCUCACUGGAGCGCAACUGACGCUGAAGCUCGAAAGUGCGGGUAUCGAACAGGAUUAGAUACCCUGGUAGUCCGCACGGUAAACGAUGGACGCCCGCUGUUGGUCUGAAUAGGUCAGCGGCCAAGCGAUAGCAUUAAGCAUCCCACCUGGGGAGUACGCCGGCAACGGUGCAACUC
rnacentral:rRNA from 1 species